rnacentral:tRNA from 1 species
GGGGGAUUAGCUCAGUUGGUAGAGCAUCUGCUUUGCACGCAGAGGGUCAGGAGUUCGAGUCCCCUAUCCUCCA